GUGGGGAAUAUUGGACAAUGGGCGAAAGCCUGAUCCAGCCAUGCCGCGUGUGUGAAGAAGGUCUUCGGAUUGUAAAGCACUUUAAGUUGGGAGGAAGGGCAUUAACCUAAUACGUUAGUGUUUUGACGUUACCGACAGAAUAAGCACCGGCUAACUCUGUGCCAGCAGCCGCGGUAAUACAGAGGGUGCAAGCGUUAAUCGGAAUUACUGGGCGUAAAGCGCGCGUAGGUGGUUCGUUAAGUUGGAUGUGAAAUCCCCGGGCUCAACCUGGGAACUGCAUCCAAAACUGGCGAGCUAGAGUAGGGCAGAGGGUGGUGGAAUUUCCUGUGUAGCGGUGAAAUGCGUAGAUAUAGGAAGGAACACCAGUGGCGAAGGCGACUACCUGGACUGACACUGACACUGAGGUGCGAAAGCGUGGGGAGCAAACAGGAUUAGAAACCCCGGUAGUCC
rnacentral:rRNA from 1 species